GAUGAACGCUGGCGGCGUGCCUAAUACAUGCAAGUCGAGCGAACAGACGAGGAGCUUGCUCCUCUGAUGUUAGCGGCGGACGGGUGAGUAACACGUGGAUAACCUACCUAUAAGACUGGGAUAACUUCGGGAAACCGGAGCUAAUACCGGAUAACAUGUUGAACCGCAUGGUUCAACAGUGAAAGACGGUCUUGCUGUCACUUAUAGAUGGAUCCGCGCCGCAUUAGCUAGUUGGUAAGGUAACGGCUUACCAAGGCGACGAUGCGUAGCCGACCUGAGAGGGUGAUCGGCCACACUGGAACUAAGACGCGGUCCAGACCCGUACGGGAGGCAGCAGUAGGGAAUCUUCCGCAAUGGGCGAAAGCCUGUCGGAGCAACGCCGCGUGAGUGAAGAAGGUCUUCGGAUCGUAAAACUCUGUUAUUAGGGAAGAACAAAUGUGUAAGUAACUAUGCACGUCUUGAAGGUACCGAAUCAGAAAGCCACGGCUAACUACGU
rnacentral:rRNA from 1 species